rnacentral:misc_RNA from 1 species
UCCGGUUUGGCACCGGCAGUCUCCCAUGAGUCCCCGGCUUUACCCGCUGGCAACAUGGAACAGGGGUUGCGCUCGUUGCGCCACUUAAGGCAACACCUCACGACACGAGCUGACGACAGCCAUGCAGCACCGGUGCACCACCCUCGAAGGCAGCGGUGUUUCCACCACUUGCAGGUGCAUGUCAAGCCUGGGUAAGGUUCUGCGUGUUGCGUAGAAUUAAACCACACGCUCCGCUGCUUGUGCGGGCCCCCGUCAAUUCCUUUGAGUUUUAGCCUUGCGGCCGUGGUCCCCAGGCGGUGUACUCAUCGCGUAAGCUGAGGCACCGAAGGGCGCAAUCACCCCCCAGCACCGGGUACACAUCGUUUACGGCGUGGACUAC